UAUACUCUCAAGCAGAUGAUAUCCAACAUCAUUUUUAUUUUAAAGCUGUGGAAGCCAUUUAUCAUUGAGUCAUCUACGUGAGAAGUAAAGUUGAAAAAAAAAGUGUAUUUUCCUUACCUUCUCUUGAUAAAUAUCACCUUUAACUCCUCUCUGCCUCUAUAGGCUGAAUCAUGCGCUUCUAACUUAGUAGAGAGAAAUCCCAUUGCCUAGAAUUUUAAAUGAAAUUGCAUUAUGUACUAAUGAAAGCAUAAACCUAGAAUUGUUAAAAUGCCAUUGACCUACAAGUUAUAUUGUCCAGAAAUCUAAAGUUACUUCUGUAUAUGUAUAGGAAACAAUCUUAAUGUUCUGGUACUGUCCACUGGUGUUUUAUGUGCUUCACCUUAUUGUACAUAUCAAUUAUUGUUUGGGAAAUUUAAAGCAGUUCUAUGGGGUACAGCAGCUAAGAGGAUACGGUGCUUGAUUCUUGUCUGAGCAUCCCAGUCUGAGGCUCCAUCUCGCUUGUAGUCAAGGAGGGGAUGGUGUCUGCUACCUAACCUUGAUUCGAGGAGCAGACAGCUCAUUUACAGGGGAUGUAUUGCUCUCUUGGAUGUAAUAUGUAAUCAAUCUGUCCAAAGGGUCUUUGCUGUGAUCCCAGGGCACCUCCAGUCCAUAUGUGCCAAACACAUUAUUUGGGGAGGUGAAGAUCAUUGAGCAGUGCUGCCUAGUGUACCAAAGGCUUAUAGUAUACUGCAAGCUGUAUCCAUACUAUCCCUAACAGACCUUUAGGACCCCUUUUUGCUUAAUGACUCUUAGGUGCCCAUGAAACAUACAGGAGGGGCAGAUGUAUUGGUGGUGGACAUCUUUGUACCUCACUCCAAGCAUGUUUAAUUCUUCAGACAACAUACAGUACUUGUAAUGGUAAGGUUAAAUAGUCAGAUUAUCUUGGAAUAAAGUGAAAAAUAAAAUGCAUAUAAGGAUAUAAUAGCAACUGAAGCUACUCGUAUGAAUACCGGUAUACUGAGAGGAGGAGACCCUCUUGUGUUUCAUAUCCACUUCCAGGAUCCCACAAUCCAUUUCAUGCUGAGACAGGAUAACAUCAAUGGACAACAAGGCUUUGGGUGCAUCUGAAAUGACUGAGGAAGCAUUACCUUCAGAUGAAUAUGCAGUAAGGAAAAUGAUUUCAAGGCCCUCAUAGAAAUUAGCUUAGGAGUUAGUUGCUGUCAAGGCAAAAAAAAAUCUGCAAAAACCAGGAACAAAGGCGGAAGUGAACCUUACUAAUAAUAUAGCAUGCUGGGAAGUUAUCCACCAAGGCCAUGGAUGCAUCUUGAAGUGACUGAGGAAGCACUGCUCUCCUCAGAUGAAUAUGCAGGUCCUAGGAGGCAAACUAAGCAUCUUGUUAUUGUCAAAGCAAUUUCCUCAACCACAAUGCUGAACAGAGGAUAAAUUCUGCUGGUCUCGGAGGAAUUUCACAAAUACUCGAGCAGGAAAAAUUCAAGAACGUUAUUCUCCAUCGCCAAUCUUAAUUUGAAACCAAGGACAUCUUGUUAUUGUCAAAUCAAAUUUCCUCAACUACAAUGCCUAACAGAGGAUAAAUUCUGCUGGUCUCGGAGGAAUGUGUCAAAUACUCAAGCAGGAAAAAUUCAAGAACGUUAAUCUCCAUCACUAAUGUUAAUUUGAAGCCGAGGAAAUUAAUGGAGUGUUUUUUUGUUUUUGUUUUUCAUUAAAGUAUGCAGAAGUGUU